rnacentral:piRNA from 1 species
UGCCACAAAUUCCAUGAUCGAAUCUGUUG